AUACGGAGGGUGCAAGCGUUAAUCGGAAUUACUGGGCGUAAAGCGUACGUAGGCGGUUCGUUAAGUUAGAUGUGAAAGCCACGGGCUUAACCCGGGAACUGCAUUUAAAACUGGCGAACUAGAGUUGAGUAGAGGGGAGUGGAAUUUCAGGUGUAGCGGUGAAAUGCGUAGAGAUCUGAAGGAACACCAGUGGCGAAGGCGACUCCCUGGACUCGAACUGACGCUGAGGUACGAAAGCGUGGGUAGCAAACGGGAUUAGAAACCCUAGUAGUCC
rnacentral:rRNA from 1 species